UACCUGGUUGAUCCUGCCAGUAGUCAUAUGCUUGUCUCAAAGAUUAAGCCAUGCAUGUCUAAGUACAUGCCGAAACAAGGCGAAACCGCGAAUGGCUCAUUAAAUCAGUUAUGGUUCCUUAGAUCGUUUCUUCCUACUUGGAUAACUGUGGCAAUUCUAGAGCUAAUACAUGCAGUGAGCCCGAAGCCCCUCGGGGCGACGGGUGCUUUUAUUAGACCAAGAUCAAUCGGGCUUCGGUCCGUUUUGUGUGGUGACUCUGGAUAACUUUGUGCUGAUCGCACGGCCACGAGCCGGCGACGUUUCUUUCAAGUGUCUGCCUUAUCAACUGUCGAUGGUAGGUUAUGCGCCUACCAUGGUUGUUACGGGUAACGGAGAAUCAGGGUUCGAUUCCGGAGAGGGAGCCUGAGAAACGGCUACCACAUCCAAGGAAGGCAGCAGGCGCGCAAAUUACCCACUCCCGGCACGGGGAGGUAGUGACGAAAAAUAACAAUACGGGACUCUUUUGAGGCCCCGUAAUUGAAAUGAGUACACUCUAAAUCCUUUAACGAGGAUCCAUUGGAGGGCAAGUCUGGUGCCAGCAGCCGCGGUAAUUCCAGCUCCAAUAGCGUAUACUAAAGUUGCUGCGGUUAAAAAGCUCGUAGUUGGAUCUCAGUUACAGGCGGGAAGUGCGUGGACACCACGUUACGGCCCGUGCUGAACAUCAUGCCUGUCGUGGCUUGGUUCCCUUCAUCAGGUGCCUUGCUUUGGCCGGCGCGUUUACUUUGAAAAAAUUAGAGUGCUCAACGCAGGCGAUUCGCCUGAAUAACAGUGCAUGGAAUAAUAGAACAAGAUCCUGUUUCUGUUCUGUUGGUUUUUGGAAUACAGGAUAAUGAUUAAGAGGGACAGACGGGGGCAUUCGUAUUGCGGCGCUAGAGGUGAAAUUCUUGGACCGUCGCAAGACGAACUACUGCGAAAGCAUUUGCCAAGAAUGUUUUCAUUGAUCAAGAACGAAAGUUAGAGGUUCGAAGGCGAUCAGAUACCGCCCUAGUUCUAACC
rnacentral:ncRNA from 1 species